UUUUAGGUUUAAGUUUUGGUUUUUAGUCUUUGCUCUUACUUGAUUUUCGUGGUCUUGGUUUUAUAAUUAUCUGGCCAUUUUGAAAGUUCUUGUAAAUAAAUUCUUUUUCUUUUUUUUGUUCGAAAUCUAGAAUUGUGUCCCUUGUCCCUAUUAUAAUUCAAUCUCCUCGCGACUUUUCUCUUCAAAGAUCCUGAGUUUAGUUUAGUUGUAGUAGUUUUAGUGCGAGUUCCCCAUAGUGUGUCAUUUUUCCAGGUUACACAUUCAAAUCCUCUGAAGUGAAAUACAAACAUGUAAACAACAAAGAACUAUAUGUAACCGGUGAAAUAUUUGAAGCAUAUUUCAAUCAUAUCUUUUUGGCACCUUUGCUUUUCCUAUCUCUUUUGAAAGUUUUAUUAAUAUUUUAUAUCCCAAUAGUCGGUACGCGGGAUUGCUUUUUCACAAGUUUUGGAUUGUUUUCAUGUUUUCAAAGUAUUGAAAUUAUUAUUAUCUUCAUUGUUUUAUGUGCAUGUUAUAUUUUUUGUUCACCACUGUGAGCAUGAGUGAGAAAAUCUGUCCUUUAGCCCUGGGUGGGUCAACCACACAUUCCAGGUUUCUGGGAAAGUAAUUAACUCCAGGCAGGAGGCUGACUACAUGUACCUCAUUAUUAUUCAUUAGAUAGACUCUGGUUUUUUUUACACUAGUUACUCUGUUUAAUCACCCCCUUAAUAGCUCUGUUUAUUCAUAAUCCCUAUGUGGUUUGCCCAGGAAUGUGAGGCACUGGCCAACAUCCUGUGGUUCAGAUAACCAACGAGAGCACACCCAUGUUAUAAAAGUCGUUUAAUUUAAAGAAGAUUUUACAGCGCUGGCUGCGCUUUGCUGCCAUGCGGCCACUGAGGAAUAAAAACAGUAAUAUUUCCACAUCUCAACUUGAAGAUCCUGUGUUCCCCUGGUCACAUAUAUAUUGUCGGUGAUACGCAUGUUUGCUUUUACGAUAUGGGAUGUCAUGUUUACUUGCUUUAUUGCUCUCUGUUUGCAUGUAUGUAAGUUUUGUCACUCAUUGAUGUGCUGACGUCACUGCGUGACCUUUUCUUGUACCUUGUUUUUUUUUCAAUAACAAAUGAAUCAAUACACAAAACGUAAUUUUAAACAGACUUAAUGAGAAAACAAACGCAGAGCUGCUGUGUAUUCUACUCCAUACAUUUAAUACUUUGGGAUAAUAUAUAUUGUAUUUACAUUACAAAUGGUAUUUGAUUAUACAUUAUUUGCCAUCAUAUCUUUUCUUCAACACAAUCACUACAGCAGUUAGUUUUCUUCCUAAAUAUUCAAACUAAUCCGUGAAAAAAAACACUUUCCUAACAGUUAUCUAAACUUUAAAUGCUAAAAAUUAUUCCACACUGUGGAACAGAUAUAAAUCUAACUUUCAACAGAAUUUAACAAGCGGAUUUAAAAAAAAACAAAAA